rnacentral:rRNA from 1 species
UACGGGGGGGGCAAGCGUUGUUCGGAAUUACUGGGCGUAAAGGGCUCGUAGGCGGCCAACUAAGUCGGAUGUGAAAUCCCCAGGCUCAACUUGGGAACUGCAUCCGAUACUGGAUGGCUUGAAUUCGGGAGAGGGAUGCAGAAUUCCAGGUGUAGCGGUGAAAUGCGCAGAUAUCAGGAGGAACACCUAUUGCGAAGGCAGCUCGCUGGGACGUUACUGACGCUGAGACGCGAAAGCGUGGGGAGCAAACAGG